rnacentral:rRNA from 1 species
AAUCCUGGCUCAGGAUGAACGCUAGCUACAGGCUUAACACAUGCAAGUCGAGGGGCAGCAUGAAAGGAACUUCGGUUCUUUUUGAUGGCGACCGGCGCACGGGUGCGUAACGCGUAUUGAACCUGCCUCAUACUCGGGAAUAGCCUUGCGAAAGUAAGAUUAAUACCCGGCGGUCUCGGAUGGCCGCAUGACUAUCCGAGUGAAGAUUUAUCGGUAUGAGAUGGCGAUGCGUCCCAUUAG